UACGUAGGGUGCGAGCGUUGUCCGGAAUUAUUGGGCGUAAAGAGCUCGUAGGCGGUUUGUCGCGUCGGCCGUGAAAACUUGGGGCUUAACCCCAAGCCUGCGGUCGAUACGGGCAGACUUGAGUUCGGCAGGGGAGACUGGAAUUCCUGGUGUAGCGGUGAAAUGCGCAGAUAUCAGGAGGAACACCGAUGGCGAAGGCAGAUCUCUGGGCCGUAACUGACGCUGAGGAGCGAAAGCGUGGGGAGCGAACAGG
rnacentral:rRNA from 1 species